AGGACGAACGCUGGCGGCGUGCUUAACACAUGCAAGUCGAGCGGAAAGGCCCUUCGGGGUACUCGAGCGGCGAACGGGUGAGUAACACGUGAGUAAUCUGCCCCUAGCUCUGGGAUAGCUCCGGGAAACCGGGAUUAAUACCAGAUACGACCACUUUAGACAUCUGUUGUGGUGGAAAGAAUUUUGGCUAGGGAUGAGCUCGCGGCCUAUCAGCUUGUUGGUGAGGUAACGGCUCACCAAGGCGACGACGGGUAGCCGGCCUGAGAGGGCGACCGGCCACACUGGGACUGAGACACGGCCCAGACUCCUACGGGAGGCAGCAGUGGGGAAUAUUGCGCAACGGGCGAAAGCCUGACGCAGCGACGCCGCGUGGGGGAUGAAGGCCUUCGGGUUGUAAACCCCUUUCAGCAGGGACGAAGCGAAAGUGACGGUACUGCAGAAGAAGCGCCGGCUAACUACGUGCCAGCAGCCGC
rnacentral:rRNA from 1 species